rnacentral:rRNA from 1 species
AUUGAACGCUGGCGGCAUGCCUUACACAUGCAAGUCGAACGGCAGCACGGGUGCUUGCACCUGGUGGCGAGUGGCGAACGGGUGAGUAAUACAUCGGAACGUACCUUAUCGUGGGGGAUAACGCAGCGAAAGCUGUGCUAAUACCGCAUACGCCCUGAGGGGGAAAGCGGGGGAUCGCAAGACCUCGCGCGAUUAGAGCGGCCGAUGCCUGAUUAGCUUGUUGGUGGGGUAAAAGCCCACCAAGGCGACGAACAGUAGCUGGUCUGAGAGGACGAUCAGCCACACUGGGACUGAGACACGGCCCAGACACCUACGGGAGGCAGCAGUGGGGAAUUUUGGACAAUGGGGGCAACCCUGAUCCAGCAAUGCCGCGUGAGUGAAGAAGGCCUUCGGGUUGUAAAGCUCUUUUGUCAGGGAAGAAACACCGGCUCUAACACAGUCUGGGAAUGACGGUACCUGAAGAAUAAGCACCGGCUAACUACGUGCCAGCCGCCGCCGUAA